UCCGUAGGUGAACCUGCGGAAGGAUCAUUCUUGUAUACCUGGUUAGGCGUAAGCCAAACCAAACCAUGUGUGAAUCAGUGUUCUCUUCCCGGCGGAAGCUUUUGCGCUCUGGGCUUGCCUGGACGCUUAGGCGACGGCUGGGGUUUUGCCUCGCAAGAGGUCAAUCAUGUUGACUAGCAGGGAACUCAAAAGUAACAAAUUACAACUUUUAACGAUGGAUCUCUUGGCUCUCACACCGAUGAAGAACGCAGCAAACUGCGAUAAGCAAUGCGAAACGCAGUUGUUCGUGAGUCAUCCGGUAUUCGAACGCACAUGGCAGGUCCUCGGACCUACGUCUGGUUGAGGGUCUUUAUUACUCCAUUUCUAUGGGAUGUGAGUGGGCGCUUGGCUCACUUGAAAGGCAAGGUGACUUGCACCGUAACCGUUUGGUGGACAAUCGAGCGGGAUUAGGUGGCGAGCGAUGGCUGGCAGGCAGUUAUCAUUUCAACUUUGACCUCAACUCAGACGAGACUACCCGCUGAACUUAAGCAUAUCAAUAAGCGGAGGGAAGUCGGACUGGCCAAGGGGCACACCAGGGGGGGGGGAUA
rnacentral:rRNA from 1 species